CCCUUAGAUGUUCUGGGCCGCACGCGCGCUACACUGAUAAUGUCAACAAGCUUUACCUUGGCCGAUAGGUCUGGGCAAUCUUCGAACUAUUAUCGUGAUGGGGCUAGAUUAUUGCAACUAUUAAUCUUAAACGAGGAAUUCCUAGUAAGCGCGAGUCAUCAGCUCGCGUUGAUUACGUCCCUGCCCUUUGUACACACCGCCCGUCGCUCCUACCGAUUGGGUGAGCCGAUGAAACUCUCGGAUGUAGGCUAUUCAUAGCCCGCAGAAGAGAUUUGAAUCGUAGCGCUUAGAGGAAGGAGAAGUCGUAACA
rnacentral:rRNA from 1 species